AUUGAACGCUGGCGGCAGGCCUAACACAUGCAAGUCGAGCGGAUGAGUGGAGCUUGCUCCAUGAUUCAGCGGCGGACGGGUGAGUAAUGCAUAGGAAUCUGCCUGGUAGUGGGGGACAACGUUUCGAAAGGAACGCUAAUACCGCAUACUUCCUACGGGAGAAAGCAGGGGACCUUCGGGCCUUGCGCUAUCAGAUGAGCCUAGGUCGGAUUAGCUAGUAGGUGGGGUAAAGGCUAACCUAGGCGACGAUCCGUAACUGGUCUGAGAGGAUGAUCAGUCACACUGGAACUGAGACACGGUCCAGACUCCUACGGGAGGCAGCAGUGGGGAAUAUUGGACAAUGGGCGAAAGCCUGAUCCAGCCAUGCCGCGUGUGUGUAGAAGGUCUUCGGAUUGUAAAGCACUUUAAGUUGGGAGGAAGGGCAGUAAGUUUAUACCUUGCUGUUUUGACGUUACCAACAGAAUAAGCACCGGCUAACUUCGUGCCAGCCGCCGCCGUAA
rnacentral:rRNA from 1 species